rnacentral:rRNA from 1 species
CGUUAUGCUCGUAGGCGUCGCCCAAGGAUGAGGCCGCGACCGAUCAGGUUGUUGGUGAGGUAACGGCUCACCAAGCCUUUUACCGGUGCGGGCCGUGAGAGCGGGAGCCCGGAGAUGGGCACUGAGACAAGGGCCCAGGCCCUACGGGGCGCAGCAGUCGCGAAAACUUUGCAAUACACGAAAGUGUGACAGGGCUAUCCCGAGUGCCAUCCGCUGAGGAAGGCUUUUACCCAGUCUAGAACGCUGGGGGAAUAAGGAGAGGGCAAGUCUGGUGUCAGCCGCCGCGGUAAUACCAGCUCUCCGAGUGGUGUGGAUGUUUAUUGGGCCUAAAGCAUCCGUAGCUGGCUGAGUUAGUCCCUUGUUAAAUCCACCGAAUUAAUCGUUGGAUUGCGGGGGAUACUGCUCGGCUAGGGGACGAGAGAGGCAGACGGUAUUUCUGGGGUAGGGGUGAAAUCCUAUAAUCCCAGGAGGACCACCAGUGGCGAAGGCUGUCUGCUAGAACGCGCCCGACGGUGAGGGAUGAAAGCUGGGGGAGCGAACCGGAUUAGAUACCCGGGUAGUCCCAGCUGUAAACGAUGCAGACUAGGUGUUUGGACGGCCACGUGCUGUUCUAGUGCCGCAGGGAAGCUGUUAAGUCUGCCGCCUGGGGAGUACGAUCGCAAGAUUGAAACUUAAAGGAAUUGGCGGGGGAGCACC